GGCGGCGCCCGCCCGCCGGCCCUGGGAUGCACGUGAACUUGGAGAAAGUCGCGGGGCGCGCGAGCCCGGACCUCCGCGGCAGGGCGUGGGCGUCCCCCGCUCGGCGCGCUUUCGUUUUCGUCCAGGACAAAGGUCCUCGCGGCGCUGGUCGCAGACGCGGAGACCGAGUCCUGCGGGCCACUCUUCGGCGAGGUCCGGUCGUUCAAUCCAGGGAAGCUGGAGCCGGGAGAAGAGGCGCGGCGCGGUGCGGGAGCGGGGAAGUGGGGCCUGGCCGUGCGCUUCGCCCACCCGGUCCCAGACCGUCCCGCCCUGCGGAGAGUUGCGAGAGAUGGCACUGCUUUGCUCUCUGCCGUUUCGACGUGUGAAGGAGGGAAGCGUUUGGAACCCAGGACUCAGACCAAUGACCCAGGGCCUGUGCAGCCUCGGGCACGGGAGCGCAGUGCCGGCCGUGUCCGGGCGCGUUCCUCUGGCAAGGACAGGGCUGUCGAUCUGCGCGCUCCGGGUGACGAUCGGGUUCAAGGCGACUCCUGAGGACGAACGUGGCUCGUCCCAGAGCACCCCCAAGAAAGUGGGCGCCCAUCGUGGCCUUUGGAAGAUGCUCUAGGACCCACCGCCCAGGUCUCACCCCUUCUUUCCAGCCACUUCGUUCCCCAGGUGAUGCCUGAAGCCCAGACGGCCGUGUCACCUCAGGUUGCCUCUGGCCUCCCCCAUCAGACUAGACAUGGCCUGAAGGAGCCGUGGUCCGUUGCAGUGUGUCUGGAUGGAAGAGGAGCACUCAGCCCCGUCUCCCUCUGCAUGGUGAGGACUCACUGUCCCCGGGUCACCGUGUGCCAGCCGCCCCCCGGGCUCGCCCCACCACCUCCAUCCAGGCUUGCCCUGCCAGGACUCUGGGGCUUGGAGUCCCCGAGGUGUCCCCUCCUCUCCUCCCAGCUGUGAACCAGCCCUUGAGUGAGUUAUUAAUAUACCUAGGCUGCCUGCCAUCAUCUGAGGUGCCACACGGGCGAGUCUCGCCUGAAACAAGAACAAAGGCCAAAUGAGGGAAACUGAGUCACAUCUGCUCCCGGGCUGGGCUGGGGGCCCAGGGUGGGGCUUGUGGUGAUGGCCAGGGUGGGUGUGUCUUCCUGUACCCCCCCUCUCCAUGCCUCACCACCCCGUGGAGCCCAGUUCUGCAGCCUGUGGCUCCCAGCUGGGGCUGGGGCCCUCCUGGGGUCAGCACUGCAGGCUCUGAGCUGAAGCCCAGGCGCAGGGAGGGCAGGCGGGUGGAGGCCGCAGGGUGGGGGCUGUCGCAGUCUGCGUGGUGGCACACACGUGGAUUCCAGCUGCGAUGUUAGUUAAGGGUGGCCAGGCUGCCGCCCACAUUCCCGUUGGGUGGCUGCUGCAUUGACCCACGUCUCAGUAGGAAGUCAAGGCCCAGGAGGGUGUAAGGUGUGCCCAGAAAAGCCCAGCGAGGAGCCCGGCUGGGGUUCGCAGCCAUCUCCACCUGCUGGGCCAUCCUGCCCCAUGCCACCCUCAGCCUGCUGGGGCUACGCUCAGGGUCCCUGCCGCCUGAGGGUGUUGAGGUCUCAGGGGCUAAGUCAGGAGCCCUGAGCGCUCGCUCAGGGUGCCUCCCCUAGAGUCACUCCCAGACAUUCACAGGGAGCCCUGGGCUGGGAGCCAGGUCCUUGGCCUGUUUCCUCCCCGGCAACGAGGCUAAUGACAACCAGUCACCCCAUAAGGCAUCAGCAAACAGCCAGAAUCUUCCUGCCUGGACGCUCCAUUGCUGGGAGGGGCCAAGGGAAGACCCUCAGUCACUGUUCCCUCCACCCCCACCCUGGUGGCUGGCUGCCUCUGCCUGGAGCAUCCCUGGUGUCACGCUGGUCCUGUCUGCCAGCCACGGAGUCCAUGUGGAGGCAGGGGACCGGGACCUGAGACCCUCUCACGCAGAUUUCUUUCUGGGGCCUUGAGGGGACACAGAGUGUCCGUGAUCACAGGCCAACUGGGUCCUGGGCAGGGGGUUCAGGCUGCGUUGGGACAUUCCUGCCCCCCCCCCAUGACUGCACCUCAGUCUCCUGUGCUGGGUGGACUGUGCUGGGCAUGGCCCCUGAUGUUGUUGGCCCUGGCUCAGGGUCCUGGGACUUCCUCUCUGCCCCUCGGUGGGGAGGGUACACUGCCCUGUAUAGGGUGCUGUCAGCACAGCGCCUGACACCCAGGGGUUCAGGGAGCAGUAGCUACCUGCUUGUUGGGACCAGGCAUGAGACCUUCCUCUGCGGCAGUGGCCAAGGCCAGGCCUGGGACAGCCCGAGAGCAAGCCCCCUCCCCUGACCUGGGGUCAGGGAUCCUGACCUUCUGAGCCUCAGU